rnacentral:rRNA from 1 species
GACGUACGCUGGCGGCGUGCUUAACACAUGCAAGUCGAACGGAAAGGCCCUGCUUGCAGGGUACUCGAGUGGCGAACGGGUGAGUAACACGUGGGUGAUCUGCCCUGCACUUCGGGAUAAGCCUGGGAAACUGGGUCUAAUACCGGAUAGGAGCCAUUUUUAGUGUGAUGGUUGGAAAGUUUUUUCGGUGUAGGAUGAGCUCGCGGCCUAUCAGCUUGUUGGUGGGGUAAUGGCCUACCAAGGCGGCGACGGGUAGCCGGCCUGAGAGGGUGGACGGCCACAUUGGGACUGAGAUACGGCCCAGACUCCUACGGGAGGCAGCAGUGGGGAAUAUUGCACAAUGGGCGCAAGCCUGAUGCAGCGACGCCGCGUGGGGGAUGACGGCCUUCGGGUUGUAAACUCCUUUCGCUAGGGACGAAGCUUUUGUGACGGUACCUAGAUAAGAAGCACCGGCUAACUACGUG